rnacentral:lncRNA from 1 species
GCCAGUGAGAGCUAAGUGCAUUUUGAAAAUAUUUGUUCUCAUAACUUUUUCCCUGUUACAGAAGUCAGAGAGCUUACUUUGGCUAAAUCAUCUCAUUAAAGAGAGAACUUUAGAUUAGACGUAGGUUAAGUCCAGUUGUCAAAGGAGGCCCCAGUUGAAAGGAAAGCACCACGAUGGUUUGUAACAUCAAGAAAGCCGGUCUCUAGUGUGUCGUAAGCAGCUGUGUGAAGACAGAAGUGACGCAUUGGAGGCUGAAUCCUUACCUUUUCCUUCACAUUAGCUCAGGAACUGUU